UGCCAAGCCACGGCGGUAAUACGUAGGGCGCAAGCGUUGUCCGGAAUUAUUGGGCGUAAAGAGCUCGUAGGCGGCUUGUCACGUCGGGUGUGAAAGCCCGGGGCUUAACCCCGGGUCUGCAUUCGAUACGGGCUAGCUAGAGUGUGGUAGGGGAGAUCGGAAUUCCUGGUGUAGCGGUGAAAUGCGCAGAUAUCAGGAGGAACACCGGUGGCGAAGGCGGAUCUCUGGGCCAUUACUGACGCUGAGGAGCGAAAGCGUGGGGAGCGAACAGGAUUAGAUACCCUGGUAGUCCACGCCGUAAACGGUGGGAACUAGGUGUUGGCGACAUUCCACGUCGUCGGUGCCGCAGCUAACGCAUUAAGUUCCCCGCCUGGGGAGUACGGCCGCAAGGCUAAAACUCAAAGGAAUUGACGGGGGCCCGCACAAGCAGCGGAGCAUGUGGCUUAAUUCGACGCAACGCGAAGAACCUUACCAAGGCUUGACAUACACCGGAAAGCAUCAGAGAUGGUGCCCCCCUUGUGGUCGGUGUACAGGUGGUGCAUGGCUGUCGUCAGCUC
rnacentral:rRNA from 1 species